rnacentral:rRNA from 1 species
UACAGAGGGUGCAAGCGUUAAUCGGAAUUACUGGGCGUAAAGCGUGCGUAGACGGUUGCGUAAGUCAGAUGUGAAAUCCCGGGGCUCAACCCUGGAAUUGCAUUGAAUACUGGAGGACUAGAGUACCGGAGAGGAAACUGGAAUUUACGGUGUAGCAGUGAAAUGCGUAGAGAUCGUAAGGAAGACCAGUGGCGAAGGCGAGUUUCUGGACGGUAACUGACGCUGAGGCACGAAGGCCAGGGGAGCAAACGGG